GGUGGCAUAGCCAAGUGGUAAGGCAGAGGCCUGCAAAGCCUCCACUCCUCAGUUCGAAUCUGAGUGCCACCU
rfam:Chlamydiae bacterium RIFCSPHIGHO2_12_FTLL_49_9 rifcsphigho2_12_scaffold_14075, whole genome shotgun sequence.